CCUCCGAACUGCUGAGAAAUAUUGCAAAAAUGACUUCAGCUGCCAAAAAUAAUGUCGUUUACAAGCAGCUCUUCCUAUGUCUAAGGAAGAACUAGUCACACAUGCGAGUUUUUGCUGGCUUGAGAACAAGCAAGGAAAAAGACAAAUCCCACCUACCCUAGCCUAAAAUACACAGUGAGUCUCAGAACCCCGCGGAAGCUGUGGCUCAUUUCUAAAGGUGCUGGCAAUAUCGAGGAAGACUUGUAUCCACAAAAUUCCAAAUGAUUAAAUAAUCAAGUCAUUAUUGUGAAUUUGGAUCUAAAUGACCUGGCAGAAACCAUGGAGAUGAUCUUGGAUUUAAAGAGGAAAAACUCAAAGCAAUGUAUUCUGAUCAAGAAAUGGCAGGAAAUGGCAGCUACCUGAUAUGGAACAAUCAACAACUGAAGGUUUAUUUUGAAUGAGAGGUGUUGUCCAACUGCGAGACGGAGUGAUUGAAGCUGAGAAUAAAUGGAAACACAAUCAAUAGUCACUCCAGUGAGGUAGGAAAGAAAGCCAUUCCGAAGUGGCAGAGAAGCUGCUUUUUCCUCCUGCAUGCUGCCUGCUAGUGUGGAUCUUGGCAUAACAGACACUACUUGGCAAAAGAUCCAUCCUUCCUUUUCCUAUACUUUGCUCAGCGGCCUGGAAGAUUGACCUCAAAAGCAAAAUCACCUGGAUUUCCUUGCCAUUUGGCUUUCAAAUGUGCUCAGCCAAUGACAGGCUGGAAAGAAAUUGACAGCUGGGAAAAGAGGAAGAUUUGUGUACAAGAUCCCUUCCACUCCCAUCUCAUUACCUGCCAUGGUCCUAGCAGUGGCUGUUCUUAUUAUGGCCACAACUACUCUUGGACAGGCCAACAUCCACAACUCCAUCCUUCAACUAGGCUUCAUUAACACUGUCCCUCACCCUUAUCUCUUUCUGGGUAGGGGUGAUAAAGGUUUCCUGACAUCAGAGUUCCUGAGUGCCUCAUAUAUUCUUGUUGGUCCCUGAACCUUGCCCCAACAUCAAUAAAAAGUUCCUUCAUUAAAUAAUUUUCAGUUGAAUCUUUCGUGCUGGGAUCUGUCCAAUUCGACUUUAGCAUACUUUUCGUGCCAAGAAAGUGAUAGUUUCUUGCCAGGAUUUGGCUCAAAGGGCUCACAGUGGGUGAGGGGAUGAGAUUACUUAUUAAGUGAUAAAAUGGAGAUCACAGUGGUUAACCUGCCUAAGAUCACAUGGUUGGUCAACUCAUGGUCGAUUCAUUAAAAUAUUAAAACAUAGAAUCAGUCAGGCAGUGGAUGUAAUAGAUAAAUAAAACACACAUGUACCCUUAAUAAUUUAUAUUCUAGGCAGGCGUGGUGGCUCACGCCUGUAAUCCCAGCACUUUGUGAGGCCAAGGUGGGUGGAUCACCUGAGGUCGGGAGUUCAAGACCAGCCUCACAAACAUGGAGAAACCCCAUCUCUACUAAAAAUACAAAAUUAGCUGGGCUUGGUGGUGCAUGCCUGUAAUCCCAGCUACUCAGGAGGCUGAGGCAGGUGAAUUGCUUGAACCCAGUAGGUGGAGGUUGCAGUGAGCCGAGAUUGCACCAUCGCACCCAGCCUGGGCAACAAGACUGAAACUCCAUCUCAAAAAAAAAAAGUCUAUAUACAUACACACACACAC
rnacentral:lncRNA from 1 species